CCUACGGGUGGCAGCAGUGGGGAAUAUUGCACAAUGGGGGAAACCCUGAUGCAGCGACGCCGCGUGAGUGAAGAAGUAUUUCGGUAUGUAAAGCUCUAUCAGCAGGGAAGAAAUAGCGACCUUUGGGUCGCCAGACGGUACCUGACUAAGAAGCCCCGGCUAACUACGUGCCAGCAGCCGCGGUAGUACGUAGGGGGCAAGCGUUAUCCGGAUUUACUGGGAGUAAAGGGAGCGUAGACGGCAGCACAAGGCUGAAGUGAAAUGCCGGGGAUUAACCACGGAACUGCUUUGGAAACUGUGCAGCUAGAGUGCAGGAGAGGGAAGUGGAAUUCCUAGUGUAGCGGUGAAAUGCGUAGAUAUUAGGAGGAACACCAGUGGCGAAGGCGGCUUACUGGACUGUAACUGACGUUGAGGCUCGAAAGCGUGGGGAGCAAACAGGAUUAGAUACCCCAGUAGUC
rnacentral:rRNA from 1 species